ensembl:lncRNA
CCCAAGUCCUCAGCAGUCAAUGACACUGACCCGUUCAAACUGCUUCUUAACGCGUACUUCACGCGUAUUUAGCAGGACUUCACGUGUAUUUAACAGGUUAAAUACACGUAUUUAACGCGCUGAUUUUUCAGGCGUAAACGACACGUAUUUAAUGCGUUAAAUACGUGUUUACGCGUGAAAUACGCAUAUUUAACGUGUUGUUUACACAUUAAAAUUCGCGUGUUUUAGACCCUCUGGGCCUUCCAUACUUGGACGUUGAUAUGAGGUUCAAAAUUUGACCGUCCGGCUACAACGUGCAGAACAGGUUCAGGAAAUCGACAUAACUUUUUUUUUUAUAUAUAUAUAUAUACAUAUAAACACAACAAAGCAAUCCUUUGAUUUCCGAUUUAAAUAUCGCAUGUACCCUAUAAUCUUAAGAAACUUUUGGGUGUUAAAAUGAUGUAAUAUAUAAAUGUUUAAAAACAUUAAACAUUUAUAAUUACAUAAUGUGACCAUAUAAAAUCUUACAUGGAUUUAUUUAUGGUAUGGUUUGUGGUAUUUUUCACUGGAGCAUUGACAGAAACAGCAGUUUACAUCUGUAUUAGAUCUAUAAAUUAAAUAUAGUUAAUUAAAGUUAAAUAUAUUAAAGUUUAAUAAAUUUAAAUAGAUAAUUAGAUUAAAAUAUUUCCUUUUCAAUAAUAAAUAUUUAACACAUAGAUUUAAAUUGGAUGAAAUAGUGCAUUUAAACGUGCGCUCGCCACUAGGGGCGUUAACGUGAUGUUACGUGAGUGACGUAAACGUGAGGGCAAAAAAAAAAAAACGUAAACGUGAUGGCCUAUGGUGAUGGCGCAAACAAUCACGAAGACGGAAGAAUAAUUCUGUUUAUUACAAAAGACUGAAGAUAUAACUACAGCUAUUCUUUAAUUUAUUUAUUUCUACGUUGAGGACACUUUAUAAACCUACAGAGAUACCUGACCAACGAACGACCUUCACAACGGGACAGAGCUAACAUAACGUUAACGGUUACUUGGAAAUUCAAACAGUAACGGAUCUGACAACUGUGCUGAGCCAAAGUUGGUGAAGAUGGAGAUGUUGUGACGACCAGGACAGUUCCUCCUAGCACACCAGACUCUGCUGUAUGUGGACGCCUGUCCACUAGCACUGGACAUUUACAACAUUUGGUGCCAGGGACCUCUUGCAGAGAAGAUUUUUCAAGGACACCCUCAGAAUUACAACAGAUUUUAAGGCUUGAAAUUAUUGUGGGUGGGAGUAUAAUGAACAUAAUAUGAUUGUUUUAUUUAUUCAUUUAUUUUUUUAAAUGGUCCCCAUUUUUUUUAAUAAUACAUUUGUUUAAUGCACAAUAUAGGGCUAAGUUGCACCAGGUCAGGAAAAAACACAUAAGUUGCAUCUGUGUAUAAGACACAUUUUUCUAUUAAUUUCAGAAAUAAAUUAAAUACUGAUAAAUAAAACAAACGUUAAGAAACUUAAAAACUAUAAACACUGUAAAGAUUUUAUUUUCGCUCACUUCAAAUCAUUUAAAUUUAACGCUAUUCAAAACAGAACAAAAAUAAAAAAUAUUUAGGCCUAUGUAUAAAAUAAACAAAUUCUAGAGCCAUUAUUUACAAGCAGUAUUUCUUUUGUUAAAUAAAGAAAACAAACAAAAUGCACUUGCUAUCUCAGUUUCUGUGAACCUCAUGCUGAAAAUUUAGAAAACACAGUGGUACAGACAAUACCACUGUGUACAGACAGACUUGUCACACAGACAUGAGAACUAUAGAAACCUGUAAGUGCCUGCUUUUAAGUGUUUACGGUUUGCUUAGGCUUUUUGACAUUACAACCAUUAUAUAAAAGUUACUUUGGAAUAAUUCAGCACAUCUCAGAAGAUUAAAAAAUAUGACUUGUAGUCUGGAAAAUAUGGUAUAAAUUAUUUUGUGGACCCCUUUGCUUUGGUCCUGAACCCCAGAUUGAAAACCCUUGCAUUGUAGCAUAUUGUGUGUUUUUUUUCAUUAUUAUUAUUGUGCAUGCAGAUAAUAUUCGGGCACAUGAACACCUGACUAUUGCAUGAAUGAAGAAUACCAUCUUUAAGAAUUUUAUGCUAAUUGCAGUUGAAAUAAAAAUGAAAAAGCUUUAAAAGUUCAGCUCCAGCAGGUAAACAUAAUGUGUGGACCCAACUAAACUAAAUUGUUUGUUGUUAAUUGUUAUCCACUGUGUAAUGACUGAAAAUUAUUUUAUUUUCAUGUUUUUUGUGUGAACACACUGUUUCUUUAAGUUUAUUUACAAGUACAAAAAGAAAUUGCAUUGAAAUAAACAUGAGAUUUAAUUGAAUGCAGCCUAUAUGUCAUAAGGUCCUGGAACUGCAGUUGUUGCUAACGGCGCGAUAUGAGAAACACCUCCACAUGUGCCCAGCGGAGAUGUUGUGCGUUUAUGCAAAAUAUGUGAGCUGAAUUCCUUCCAAACGCCGUAGAAGGCCACUGCCUGCAUUACCCGCCGGGUGUUCUCCCCAGGGUUUGGACCUCCAACGAGGCUUAAAUGAUGUGUCUGCAAGAUGGAAUACAUUUUCUAAAUAGGAGAGGAGUUCAUUGAUGGUGCCACACACUUCAAGGCUCAUCUCCUCUGCUUGCUGGCAAGUCCCAUCACCCAGGGCACGAGCAUAAAGUUCAUGCAUGGCUGCUAUUGUGCUCCUCAUUGCCUUCAUCUCACUCUCUAUGCUUACUAUUUUUUGAAUGAGGAGGCUAAGGAGGUGAUCUGAGGAGAAUCAAUAUUGAUUCGUUAAAAUUAAGGACCUGGUUUAACCAGCAGUGGAGAGAGUCAUGAAGGAGAAUCACCAAAUAACACUGACAGCGAAGGGUGUCUCUGGGUGGAGUUGGCCUUAUUGGCACAUCAGGCAUGGGAAGCUCUCCACAUCUUGAUGGCAUCUUUAUUGAUUGAUUGAAGGUGGUUUGCUUGUUAGGUUCAUACCUUCAUAAGAGCUGCUGAGACACACCGGUCGUCUUUUCCUUUUGGGGGUGUCAUCACAGCUCUCAAGUGAAGAUUGCACAGCUGCUUUUUUCGACCACUUUUUUGCUCUUUCAUAGUCAUCUUAAGCAAAAAUAUGCCUCCUAGCAACCUGAAUCAGUGGGUUUCUACCAGAACGCACCAUCCUCUUGAGUGUUUGCAGGUAGUUUUCAAACAUGAAGGCACUACAAUUUUCCAGACCACCGAAGUUUUCGGCAUCUUUUGCUAUGUGCAGCAUGGCAUGUGUGUUGUAAACAAGGAACUCUUGUCCAUAAAGAAUCCGACCUUUUCCACAAAAUAAUGCAGCAGUUCAUCUGCAUAUUUCGAGUGUUCCUGCACAAGACUUGGACAUACCAAGAUUAUCAUGGCCACGCUAAAGGAAAGGAAGUGCAAAUACAUUUCAUCAGGCAGUAUUCCCUUCAACACAAUCUUCCCAGUGUAAAGAAGGAACUGACGAAACUCAGUCGCUUUCCACCUGUCCAGUUCCUCAAGACCUCUAGGCUUUCGCACAAAAGUAGAUGGGAUGCAUUUCCGAAGAGACCGCAGUCUUGCACUAAUCUCUGUGAUUUGGCUGGCUGAAACACUCACAACUCUGUCUCCUCUGGUCCAGAUGUGCAGGAGUCUUUUCAUUACACCUAGACAAGCCUGGUGCAUGUAAUCAAUGGGAAAACUCUGCACCAUGUCUAUGGGGAGGUGAGACAGAGUGAAUCCCAUGAUUCAUCAGAUGAGCCAGUUCCCUUACUGUGUCUUCCAAAAAGCCAAGAUCUGUUGGUCGACUUAGACUGCUUGUCAGAGCCGUGGGGAAAAUGGUGACAGGGUCUAACAUGACUGCACAAAGAACUGGCCACAUACAUGUUUUGGAACUCUUGUACAGUGGUCAGAAGCCGAGGAUUCAUUCAAACUGUUAAUACCUUCCCAUGUCACUGCUCUUGACUGUUCUUCCACAUUUGCAGAAUACAAAUAGUGUUCAUUGUCAGAUGAACACUCUCCACAAAUCAUCUCCAUGUCAACAUCUUUUUGUGAUUGUUCUUCAAGUGGAAGAUCAAGUGAUUGUACUUCAGCUGGUGGAUUACUCUCCUUGUGGCAGUACCAACGAUGUUUCGUCCAGCAUUAAAUUACUGCAGAAGAAGAAUACCGCCAACGUGACGCGGAUAUUAUAUCUUAAUGGAGGAAUAAACCUGAAACAGCACUUCCAAGAACUUCUUGAUUGUCGUUUAUGGAUUCCUCAUGAAAUUUGGGAUUGUCGGUUUGGAUGGACCAGGAGUUGGUGUCACUGGAAAAACUCUCAUGGUGGCCCGCUGAUGACUGAGGAUAGAUGUGCCUUGCUGCUUUUCGAAAAGGACUUCUGUCCUGAUGUUUGGCUGUGGUCCCCCCAUCAUCCACUCUUUGGCAACAAGUCUUUGUAUGCAGACCACCAUGAUCUAAUCUAUACAGACCUAGUUGUCUCUUCUCCCACAAACUCCACUUUCAGGAGUACCUUUUACAAAGGUGUCACCAUGAGCUCCCGACCUCCUGACCUCUCCGUGGCUGAGCUGUAUUAGGACUUUGUCAGAACUACAUCUUUUUUGGUCACCACAAUCUGGAUGUGUUCAGUGAGGAUUCAUCGGUGGAUUUCACCUUUGGAAAAGUUUAGGCUGGGAGUGUGUUGUCAUACCAGCAGAAACAAGCUGCAUCAUUACUCACAUCAAGAUGUCCCAUCACCACCACAUCUACCACUUAUUGGUUACAGCCUUGGCACAUCUGUCUGCUUGUUUGUCCAUAGUGAACAUAGUUUUUUAUUUGUAUGUAACCAACACACUUGUACAGGAAAUCUUUAACACCUAAUUAAAGUACUUAUACAUGUUUACACGUUUACAUUAUUAUAGUGCAGGUAACAAAAUAAUUAAAUUUACAUUAUCUACAUUUAUAAAUAAAUGUAUCCAUUUACAAUUUCUAUACUAAAUAUUAUUUUAAUUAAUAUAUUCAGGUGUUCUGUUGUAUUUUUGUAAAGAUUGUGAGUAGCCAAGGGUAUAAAGGGAAUAAAAAAGUGGCGGGACUGUACAAAUCCCAGUAAUCCCAAUCCCAAAUUAAAUGAUUUGUUUCUAUUUCUGGCAUAGUCCAAUUUUUAGUAUAGUUCCAUAGUCCCAUAGGCAUAGUCCCAUAUUUCAAUUUAAAAUAACUGUUUUCUAUGUGAAUAUAUUUUAAAUAUUAUAGCAGUCUAAUAAUAAAAUAAAAGUAGUCUUAAUAAUAAAAAUCAGAAACACUUAUAAUAAAAACGGGAGAGAGAGAGUUAUCUGAGACCAGGGGACCACGUCGCUACAACGUUCCCCAUGGGACCAACUAGCGACGUCUGUUGAGGACAUGCCCACAACGUUUCUGGGACGUUUGCAAACAUUCUAAAAAAAAAAAGUUUAUUUCUUAUAUGGGUAGAUAGAUGUUUGAGUAUUUCGUUACGGGUUUAAAAUGACAAUAGUAUUUAUAAUGUUUACAGUAUACAUUUUGUCAUUUGGAUGUUAUCUUUGUUAUCACUGAUGGACACUUUAGCUAAAGGUAACUUUACCCUUAAAAUUUGCUUUUCACUAAUUCUAUAGUGACUGCAGAAAAAUAGAUAAACAUACAUCCAUAAAUAGCUGUACUAAAGACCAGGGGACCACGUCGCUACAACGUCCUCCAUGGAACUAACUAGCGACGUCUUUUGAGGACGUGCCCACGACGUUUCUGAGACGUUAGCCAAGAUUCUAAAAAAUGGAACUUUACCUCGACGUCCUCACAACGUCGCCAUAAAGUAAUGUCGCGCUAACCAAAUGACGACGAACUGGCGACGUCCUCACAACGUUCUGUGUUUGCUGGGAAGUGCGCUGCGCGCAUAUCAGAAACCAUCUUAACUUGCGUAUUUGCAACUUGCGUAUUUGCCUAAAUGAAUUCUGCCCCACUGCUUAAUGUCUCUGAUCAGUUAAAUUAGUUUUUAAACCACAAUGCUUAAAAUGCGUUUAAAUUAAAAGCUUAUAUCCAUGACGUGCUUAUAUCAUUUACAGCGAUAUCGUUGACUUGAUUGAAAAUUAUUGCAGAGAUACUAUUUAAACUGAACUGAGCUGCAUGAUGACAUCACUGAAUUCA